CAGCCGCCACGGUAAUACGAAGGGUGCAAGCGUUAAUCGGAAUUACUGGGCGUAAAGCGUGCGUAGGCGGUUUGUUAAGUCUGCUGUGAAAUCCCCGGGCUCAACCUGGGAAUGGCAGUGGAUACUGGCAAGCUAGAGUGUGUCAGAGGAUGGUGGAAUUCCCGGUGUAGCGGUGAAAUGCGUAGAGAUCGGGAGGAACAUCAGUGGCGAAGGCGGCCAUCUGGGACAACACUGACGCUGAGGCACGAAAGCGUGGGGAGCAAACAGGAUUAGAUACCCCCGUAGUCCCUGUCUCUUAUAA
rnacentral:rRNA from 1 species